UACGGGGGGGGCAAGCGUUGUUCGGAAUUACUGGGCGUAAAGCGCACGUAGGCGGAUUUGUUAGUCAGGGGUGAAAUCCCGGGGCUCAACCUCGGAACUGCCUUUGAUACUGCAAGUCUCGAGUCCGGAAGAGGUGAGUGGAAUUCCUAGUGUAGAGGUGAAAUUCGUAGAUAUUAGGAGGAACACCAGUGGCGAAGGCGGCUCACUGGUCCGGUACUGACGCUGAGGUGCGAAAGCGUGGGGAGCAAACAGG
rnacentral:rRNA from 1 species